rnacentral:misc_RNA from 1 species
GGAGGAACUAAUGUAAUAUGUGGCUUAUUCAAUUGCUAGGUUGUUGUGAAUAACAGUCUGCUGUUGUCAUGCAUGCCUAUGAGAACGCCUAAUAUGAAAUAUUUAUUUGUACAGUCCAUCACGUGUGAAGUUACACCUUCAGGAUGACAGUAUUUCAUGACUAGUUUGAGUUUAAAAUAGGCCUCUAGGAACCUCAUUUUACAUGAAAUCCCUACUGUUUUAGUUUAAAGGGUCAUAACUGCAAAUGCAAAAAUGGAAGAUACUUUUCACCAUUUUGAUGUUCUAGAGCUA